rnacentral:misc_RNA from 1 species
AAGUCGUAACAAGGUCUCCGUAGGUGAACCUGCGGAGGGAUCAUUACACAAUAAAAUACGAAGGCCGUUCGCGGCUGGACUAUUUAUUACCCUUGUCUUUUGCGCACUUGUUGUUUCCUGGGCGGGUUCGCUCGCCACCAGGACCACAAUAUAAACCUUUUUUAUGCAGUUGCAAUCAGCGUCAGUAUAACAAAUGUAAAUCAUUUACAACUUUCAACAACGGAUCUCUUGGUUCUG